AUAUUGUAUCCAUACGAUCAUGUAACGAUGACGAGCGAUGCAAAAUGAGAUGUG
rnacentral:rRNA from 1 species